rnacentral:rRNA from 1 species
GACAGAGGGUGCAAACGUUGUUUGGAAUUACUGGGCGUAAAGCGCGUGUAGGCGGCUAAGUAAGUCGGGCGUGAAAUCCCACGGCUCAACCGUGGAAGUGCACUCGAAACUGCGUAGCUAGAGUCCUGGAGAGGAAGGUGGAAUGCUUGGUGUAGAGGUGAAAUUCGUAGAUAUCAAGCGGAACACCGGUGGCGAAGGCGGCCUUCUGGACAGUGACUGACGCUGAGACGCGAAAGCGUGGGGAGCAAACAGG